rnacentral:rRNA from 1 species
GAUGAACGCUAGCUACAGGCUUAANACAUGCAAGUCGAGGGGCAGCAGGGAUUUAGCUUGCUAAAUCCGGCUGGCGACCGGCGCACGGGUGCGUAACGCGUAUCCAACUUUCCCGUUACUCAGGGAUAGCCUUCCGAAAGGGAGAUUAAUACCUGAUGGUGUUUGAAAUUCGCAUGUUCUUCAAACUAAAGAUUUAUCGGUAACGGAUAGGGAUGCGUGACAUUAGAUAGUAGGCGGGGUAACGGCCCACCUAGUCUACGAUGUCUAGGGGUUCUGAGAGGAAGGUCCCCCACACUGGAACUGAGACACGGUCCAGACUCCUACGGGAGGCAGCAGUGAGGAAUAUUGGUCAAUGGUCGGAAGACUGAACCAGCCAAGUAGCGUGAAGGAUGAAGGUUUUCGGAUUGUAAACUCCUUUUAUCAGGGACGAUAAUGACGGUACCUGAAGAAAAAGCUCCGGCUAACUACGUG